rnacentral:rRNA from 1 species
GACGAACGCUGGCGGCGUGCCUAAUACAUGCAAGUAGAAGCUAGUUGUGAACGGGUGAGUAACGCGUAGGUAACUGCCUCAUAGCGGGGGAUCACUAUUGGAAACGAUAGCUAAUACCGCAUACUGUGAGAUGGACCUGCGUUGUAUUAGCUAGUUGGUAAGGUAAAGGCUCACCAAGGCGUCGAUACAUAGCCGACCUGAGAGGGGGAUCGGCCACACAGGGACGGAGAGACGGCCCAGACUCCUACGGUAGGAAGACGUAGAGAAUCUUCGGCAAUGGACGGAAGUCUGACCAGGCAACGCCGCGUGAGUGAAGAAGGUUUUCGGAUCGUAAAGCUGUGUUGGUAGAGAAGCGGUAACUACCCAGAAAGGGACGGCUAACUACGUGCCAGCAGCCGCGGUAAUAC